GAGUCAUUAGCUCAGUUGGUAGAGCAUCUGACUUUUAAUCAGAGGGUCGCAGGUUCGAACCCUGCAUGACUCA
rnacentral:tRNA from 2 species